rnacentral:rRNA from 1 species
GAUGAACGCUGGCGGCGUGCCUAAUACAUGCAAGUCGAGCGAACAGACGAGGAGCUUGCUCCUCUGACGUUAGCGGCGGACGGGUGAGUAACACGUGGAUAACCUACCUAUAAGACUGGGAUAACUUCGGGAAACCGGAGCUAAUACCGGAUAACAUGUUGAACCGCAUGGUUUAACAGUGAAAGACGGUCUUGCUGUCACUUAUAGAUGGAUCCGCGCCGCAUUAGCUAGUUGGUAAGGUAACGGCUUACCAAGGCAACGAUGCGUAGCCGACCUCAGAGGGUGAUCGGCCACACUGGAACUGAGACACGGUCCAGACUCCUACGGGAGGCAGCAGUAGGGAAUCUUCCGCAAUGGGCGAAAGCCUGACGGAGCAACGCCGCGUGAGUGAAGAAGGUCUUCGGAUCGUAAAACUCUGUUAUUAGGGAAGAACAAAUGUGUAAGUAACUAUGCACGUCUUGACGGUACCUAAUCAGAAAGCCACGGCUAACUACGUG